GCCUGUGCACUGGGAGCCGGGCGUGGGCCGGGGGCCGCGGCCGGGUGCAGCGGCGGGCGGUGCGGGGGAGGGUGGGCGCGGGCCGCGUGCAGCGGUGGGCAGGCGGGGCAGGGCGGUGGCGCCGAGCCCUGGGGCGCGGUGAGCCCGAUCCCGCUUCCCGAGGUGCGGGUUCCGGGCCGCGGUUCCCCUGCGCCGGCCCCGCCGCCCCAGACUUUGAUCCUGCGAGCUGGGUGCACGUGGGGGCGGCUGGGUGACAGGUCGGCGCCCAGGAGGGGCGGGGAGUGCGGGCUGUGCGGGCAGCGGCGGGGGGCGCGGCCGAGCGAGGAGCCGAGUUAGGGGACUGGUUUGCUAGCGGCACAACCCCAGCCUGGGGAAGGAACACUUUCCAUCCAGGGGGAUCACCCUCAGGGCCACCUCCCCAGGGCAACCGUGUGAAGUCAGCCUGUCGCUGACACUCUUUAGGUGUGGGGUGCUGACUUGGGGCGGGAGCCUGCUGCGUGACUUGGACAAGUCACCUAAUCUCGCUACACCUGUUUCUUCAUCAAUAGAGGGAAGGGUUGGGCAAGUGGAACUCUUCUGCUUCCUUCUAGCUAAAAUUCCAAGGCUCUGUGAUUUCACACUAUUUAUGGGUUACAAACCUCCGAACACUUGUGUGGGCUGUUUGGAGGGGGAGGGGCGCCCGGAAUACAAAAGAACGGUGGAUGUGUGCACAUCUAUGUGGGUAAAGUUCUCCCAGAGUGGAGGCUGUAGUCAUCAGCCUCUGUUGGGCCGCCAAACCAGCCGAAGGGACCCCCUAGGUACCAGCUAUUGCACUGAGAUAUGCAUGGCUCAGUGUUCUUUUGCAUGAAAAGAUUUCUUUUAGUUUCAUUUGGUUUUUCUAGACAGUUUCUGUGAGUAAACCCCCGGCUGUGCUGAAACUCCCUCUUUAGAGCAGGCUAUCCUCGAACUCAGAGCUACAGCUGCCUCUGCCUCCUGAGUGCUGAGGUUAAGGUGUUUGCCACCACCGCUCGGCGAAAGCUCCUAUUCCAAGACUGCCUCUCACUUUGUACACCGUGUUCUCAUCACAGCACCCAGACUGGAAAGCUAGGUGGGUCCUCGGUUUCCAACAUCAUAGGGGAUUAAAUAGAACCUGGUGAUUGACUGGAUAUUGGGCAGCAAGAGGAGGAUUAACAGUUACGUUUCGAAGCCGGAAUAAUGAAAACAGAGCCCAAGUUCUUCAGUGAUGGCAGAGAGUUAAGGUGCCAGCACCUUUUAUAGCCAAGGCUCGCUCACUGGAAGCAUUUAGGAGCUCAGGCAUAAUGGCUCGGAGGCUGAGGCAGGAGAGAGUUCUAGGUCUGCGUGAACCACAGAGUGAGUUUGAGGCUGGCCUGAGCGACUUACUAAGAAGAAAUCGUGCACAGAGAAGUUUGGAGGCGGCUUGACGGUGCACUGCUCACCUACUGCCAUUAGCCUGGGGUCCCCAGCACCAGAAAAACAAGCAUCUGUGAAUUUUGGGUUACAUUUAUCUGUAAGCACACAUGAAUGUAGAGGUCCAAGGACAACGCUUAUGAUUUGGUUCUCUCCUUUUACCAUAAGGACUCCAGGGGUUGAACUUGGGUUGUCAGUCUUGGUGGCAGGCAUCUUUACCCACUGAGCCAGCUUGGUCACCCUGUGCUUUAAGUGCCCUGCUACUUAACACCAGAUGCAGGUGAAGGCUCAGGUCAUCUUAAGGAUGGAGUGCUCACACUUCUUUGGUCAUGGCUUUUGUCUUUUGUUUUCACUUUUAAGACAUGCUGAAUGAUUGAGAUAUAGCCCAGGCUGGCCUUGAAUUCUCCAUCCUCCUGCUGUAGCCUCCCAAGUACUGAGAUUACAGACAUGAGCCAUCACAUCUCUCGUCUCCCGUAGUCUUUUUAUUCUUCAGGUUCGGAGGUCACAAAACACAGAGGAUAUGUUUUAAAGAGAAUUUUGUCAGGCAUGGUGAUUCAAGGCCAGACCUAGGCUUACCGUGUCCCCUUCUCAAAAAUUAAAAUAAAAUAAUCAAAGCA